UUCCUGGUGGCUCAGACGGGUAAAGCGUCUGCCUACAAUGCAGGAGACUUGGGUUCAAUCUCUGGGUCAGGAAG
rnacentral:tRNA from 1 species